rnacentral:lncRNA from 12 species
CCAGCCUAGCAUAACUCCUAAUACUUUAUAUAACCAUGAAAUUCAACACGCCACCUUCAUUGGAUAGUCCUUUGUCAAAGCCCGAUCUUUCUCAAACUCACUUCACAUGACAACAACAUUAAUUGCUAUUUUAUGCACAGACACAGACAGACUUCUUCACAAGUUUACUUCUUGGUAACUUACAAGUGCGCUGGUUGACAGCAUCCUCAAUUAGCAGAGUCAUUUCCAUAUCCUGGACAUAUACAUUGAUCAGAAAAGAUGACAAUUUAUUUUUAGACAGACGCAGACUGCAUAUUUUAAAUAUCCUUCCCAUUUGGCAAAAAUGGUGUUGUAGCUAAUGUAUGUACAAUAUUUCCAAAAACAUUGGUACUUUCCCAUAAAUAUCUUCCAUAUUUUUUUUUCAGUGAGUAAUAAAAAAGGUUGAGGUGGGAUGUGUUUUAUCCCAGCACAUUAUAUCAUUCCUAUUUUUCCUCUUGGUUGGAUGGCAGUCAGGGGCGCUGAUGCCAAGCUUUGGAAGCAACAGCAUCUGGCUCCUUGGCAGAGCCUGCGGGUAGACUUGUUGCCAGCCUCUAAGCUGUGUCUGGGUCUGUUGCAUGGUUUGGCUGCAGAUGGACUCUCUGGGUUGCCUCGUGCUUCUGGAAGCCAGUCCUGGCUUUCCUUUGAUUCUGAGGACUUUACUCAUUUUUAUUCAUUUGUGAAGAAGGGCCCAUCCAAAUGCUUUACGAAACCAACCCUGGAGAACAUUAACGGAUCAAAUUUUGCCUUUAAAAAGGCAGAGUGGAUCAGACCACGAGAGAAUGAAUACACAACGGAGCCCUCUCGUCUUCUCUCCUCUUCCAUGUGAUUGCCCGG